GGGGUGGCUUCAACAACAGAUAUUUAUUUUCUUACAUUUCUGGUCACUGGAAGCCUAGGCAUGGACAAACAAGGAUGUAAGGGACGAACCUGCUCCAGGUCUGUCUCCUUGGCUUGUAGAUGGCUGUCUUCUCUCUGGGUCUUCACAUCAUCUUCCUUCUGGAAUUUACAUGUUAAAACAUAAUUACCACUGUAGGAGGCAGGUCUUUUGAGAAGUGAUUAGAUCAUGAUGGCAGAGACCUCAUGAAU
rnacentral:lncRNA from 10 species